ACAUAAAAGGUGCUCGCUGUGUGUAUGCAGAGGGGGUGGGUGUAUUCUAAUAACUGAGUGUAAUGUGCUGCCAUCAACAGGAGAGACAGUGUCUGGCAACGAAAACGCACUGCCUGACGUCGUAGCACGGGCGUGGACCCGUGGCGCCCUGGCGGGUGCAUCGUGGAUGGCUGGCAAGCUUGAGCUUUGGGUUGACAGACAGGAACACAAGCUGGUCAACUCUUUCAGGCUUAUGACACGAUGUCUUCCAUGUCGCCAUGUUUCCAAUAGUACCAAAGAUCCGCUCCGACGGAAAACUAGUCGCGGGGAUGCACAGAUAGUUUCUGGCAAGCUUCGCCACCAAUGGAAAGUUGACCUCGUGCUGCCUCCACCAUACGUGAGGAUCCUCCUCAGGAUCCAGGUCAGCUGUCUGCAGGUACAUGGUAAGCUCCAGGUCAAUGGAUGCUCUGCUUGGCUUUGAUGUACCUUGGCAAUUGGGUGCUGCUGUUUUCUUGAAG